CCUACGGGCGGCAGCAGUGGGGAAUAUUGGACAAUGGGGGGAACCCUGAUCCAGCCAUGCCGCGUGUGUGAAGAAGGCCCUCGGGUUGUAAAGCACUUUCAGUGAGGAAGAACGCCUGGUGGUUAAUACCCAUCAGGAAAGACAUCACUCACAGAAGAAGCACCGGCUAACUCCGUGCCAGCAGCCGCGGUAAUACGGAGGGUGCGAGCGUUAAUCGGAAUUACUGGGCGUAAAGCGCGCGUAGGUGGCUUGAUAAGCCGGUUGUGAAAGCCCGGGCUCAACCUGGGAACGGCAUCCGGAACUGUCAAGCUAGAGUGCAGGAGAGGAAGGUAGAAUUCCCGGUGUAGCGGUGAAAUGCGUAGAGAUCGGGAGGAAUACCAGUGGCGAAGGCGGCCUUCUGGACUGACACUGACACUGAGGUGCGAAAGCGUGGGUAGCAAACAGGAUUAGAUACCCUAGUAGUC
rnacentral:rRNA from 1 species